rnacentral:rRNA from 1 species
AGAAACUAACAAGGAUUCCCCUAGUAACUGCGAGUGAAGCGGGAAAAGCUCAAAUUUAAAAUCCCUUCUGGGAGUUGUAAUCUAGAGACGUGUUUUCGGUCGUUGCCUCGGACAAGUCCCUUGGAAUAGGGCGUCAUAGAGGGUGAGAAUCCCGUACUUGCCGAGCUCCCAAUGACUAUGUGAUACACGUUCGAAGAGUCGAGUUGUUUGGGAAUGCAGCUCAAAAUGGGUGGUAAACUCCAUCUAAAGCUAAAUAUUGGCGAGAGACCGAUAGCGAACAAGUACCGUGAGGGAAAGAUGAAAAGCACUUUGGAAAGAGAGUUAAACAGUACGUGAAAUUGUUGAAAGGGAAGCGCUUGAAGUCAGUCGCGUUGCAGGGACUCAGCCGUCAAGGUGCAUUUCUCUGCAACGGGUCAACAUCAAUUUCGGCCGCGGGAAAAGGGCUUGGGGAAUGUGGCAGCUUCGGCUGUGUUAUAGCCUCUUGUCGUACACCGCGGCCGGGAUUGAGGACUGCUAUUACAGGAUGUUGACAAAAUGGCUUUAAGC